ensembl:lncRNA
CUCUGAAACUUCCAGAAGAGGCAUAAUUUCCUCAUAAAAUGCUUCUAGGUUCCUUGUCCCAUCUGUAUGGAUGCCCACCUUGCUUUCUGCCCCUCCAUUGCAAUGUCCUGAACAAACCUCUGGAGGUAAACAAAGGACAAGUCUCCAGGGCCUGGAUCCAGGACAGCAGUCUGACAGAGGGUGUUCUCUACCCCAUCAAGGAUUCCAAAGGAUGUUGUGGAUGGUUUGUUCCUGGAUGCAUUCAAGGCCAAGCUGGAUGUGGCUCUGGGCAGCCUGGUCUAGUGGUUGGCAACCCUGCCUGUGGCAGGGAGGUUGAAACUAGAUGAUCUUUGAGGUCCUUUUCAACCCAAGCCAUUCUAUGAUUCUAUGAUCAUCUAGAUUGUUAAUGUAGCUUUCAAAAAGCACAAGACCCAUUAUUGAUCCUGAGGUACACCUCUAGUCUGUCAUCAGCCAGGAUUAGUGCCAGUGAUCAUAAUUAUUUGACUCUGGCAGAACAACCACUUGUUGGUUGACUCUACUCUCCAUUUACUUAAUCCACGGUCCUUCAGUUCAUCCAU